rnacentral:lncRNA from 1 species
CUCUGAAGAAAAAGCUUUACGAGGAGAGAUCCUGAUCAUGGUGAAGUUGAUCGAGCAGAGACCCUGGUCGUAGAAAGAGGACAACCAGAAUCUCGCAUCAACAUAAUGUAUGCAAAUUGAACAAAUUGAAAUGAAAUGAACAAUACAUUUCGUAAAAGCUCUUGUCUACUCCAAUAUUGAGGCAGCUUCAAAAACAAUUAAAAUCAACUCAACUCGACAAUUUACAUAACCAUCCAUGCUAUAUACAGACACCAUAAACUACUCCCACAGACUUCUUCGUCAACGCUUUCAUCAAACUGAUAUGACGAACAUAGUACAUCAAUAUGUACGAGGCAAAUAAAACAUCUGUAGCAUGCAGUGAUUUGCAAUGUCUCUGAUCCUUGAGAGCCUUGAGUUUGAAUCUGUCCAGACCUGAUUAUGGACAAAAUGCACGAGGAUUCAGUGGAUUUAACAGAAGGAAGACCAAUAAUAAAAUCAUAAAAAUGAAAGCUCAUGCACCUAUAAAAUAGCGAGCGAAUAUUGAGUUGUCUAGUCUAGAUGAAAUCUACUUGAUUCAUAUGGAAGCUAAAUAGUAGUAAGAGUAUUAUAAUCGAAAUAUAAAGAGAGAUAUAUAUAGUACACAACAGCAAUUAGAGUAAUGAUAAAAUAUUAGAUGCAGUUGCCAAAAUUAAACAAAUCGCAAACACAAUAAUGUCACAGGGCCGUUCAGAAAAUACACAGAGCAUAGCAGUACCUCCGGGGAUCUGAAAGUCAUAUUAACAUAAGAAAAGCCAAUUGAUAAUCUAAAUGAUAAUAUGAUUCAGAAAAGGUAUUGAAACUAAACAAGAGGUUGAAAGACAGAAGAUGCAUAUUUUAAAACGUUUCUUCCUGAUGCAGUCAGAAAGGUUUAUAAAUAAAUAGAAGUUAUUUUAUAUAUGAUUCACAUGCAACUCGGCUAGUAUGAGUGAGAGUGAGAACAAUCAAUUGAUACAAAAAAUUUCAGAAAAUCAACUCAGCAAGUGUUCCUAAUUUGGACAUCCCAUGAUGAAGAAAAUUUUUGUACCUAUGCAAUGGUACAAAUUAAAAAAGAGGAGAAAGGUACCACCUUGUUGUAUAUGUCAUGAUAAGAAUCCUUGACUUGUAAAAUCCUUGGGAUGAAGCGAAGAAGAAAUUUACAUCUCUGGAGAACUCUGCAACAAAGUGCUCAAUCCGAUUCUGAGGCAUCAUAUGAAGGGUCAAACUGCAUCAAAAUAAUUGUGCGACUGCAAGAAAAUACAGCAUCAAAACUGAACUGACAACAUAUAUAUAUAUAUAUAUAUAUAUA